AAAACAUAGCCCUAAGUAUUUAUUUAGGGUAAUACCUGCCCAAUGAGACAUUAAAUGGCCGCGGUACUCUGACCGUGCUAAGGUAGCAUAAUCAAUUGACUUUUAAAUGAAGUCUGGAAUGAACGGGGUAACGGAAUUUAGCUGUCUCACCUGUUUUUUUUAGAAGUUACUAACUAAGUGAAAAGGCUUAGAAAUGAAAAAAGACGAGAAGACCCUAAGAGUUUUACAUUUUGUUGGGGCGACAAGGGAUCUAAACAUCCUUGAUAAUGUGGCGGUUAUUACAGGAAAAGAUAAACUACCUUAGGGAUAACAGCAUUAUUCUUUUGAGUUUGUGACCUCGAUGUUGGACUAGGAAGCCUCUAGGCUAGCUGCUUAGAGAGGGGAUUCUGUUCGAAUUUUUACUCCUACGUGAUCU
rnacentral:rRNA from 1 species